AUUGAACGCUGGCGGCAGGCCUAACACAUGCAAGUCGAACGAGUGGCGGACGGGUGAGUAAUGUCUGGGAAACUGCCUGAUGGAGGGGGAUAACUACUGGAAACGGUAGCUAAUACCGCAUACCAUCGGAUGUGCCCAGAUGGGAUUAGCUAGUAGGUGGGGUAACGGCUCACCAAGGCUACGAUCCCUAGCUGGUCUGAGAGGAUGACCAGCCACACUGGGACUGAGACACGGCCCAGACUCCUACGGGAGGCAGCAGUGGGGAAUUUUGGACAAUGGGGGAAACCCUGAUCCAGCCAUCCCGCGUGUGAGAAGAAGGCCUUCGGGGUGUAAAGUACUUUCGGCAGGAAAGCGGUACCUGCAGAAGAAGCACCGGCUAACUACGUGCCAGCAGCCGCGGUAAUUC
rnacentral:rRNA from 1 species